GGUGGUGCAAAAUGGUUAAUGCACUUGGCUUCUAAUCAACAGUUUGGCAGUUCGAGUCUACCCACAAGCA
rnacentral:tRNA from 1 species